CUAAAUAUAGGGUUCCAGCUCCAGUGCGAGACGCAGAGGUAAAAGCCUGCUGCACCCCCAUGAGUCCAGGGACCCCCAGGAGAGACCCCAGGACUCCCGAUAAGCUCUAGCCUUCCUGCAGAUGCACCAGUUCCACUCCUUUUCUGCCGGGAAUCCCCCACUGAUCGUGCUGAGGACUCUGCCCGUCUGCCAGCUCCAAUGAACACCUGGUUCAAACUUCACUGAGUGAUUAUUUCUCCAGUUUAUUCAGAUCAUUCUGGAUUCUAGCCCUGAUCUCCAAAGUGUCUGCAACUCUACUCAACUUGGUGUCAUCCAGAAAUUUGAUGGCUGUCGUAGAAGACAAGAGGCCAGCGGUUCCCCUGACUGAUUGGUCCUAGAAUCUCUCUCAGGACAAGUUCUAGCAGCAGGAAAAAAAAAAAAAACCAAUGAGGAAAAAUAAAUCUUAUGACCUGAUUAAUACUACCCUGGGUGGAGCCUUCACAGGCCCUUAUACAGGGAUAUUCUUAUUGGCAGUAUCCCAUGUCAGAUUUCUAAAUAAGCUUGUUAAUGUAUGAAAAUGUAUGAAAUGUGGAAUUCUAAUGUAUGGAAACUGUUCUUAAAGUUACAUGGAUACAUUAAAACUUUAAUUGUUCAAUCAUGUGAACUCUAAAUAAAAGGCUUUUAAGCCUGACAGAAUAUUUUCUGUUAUUACAGCAGAUCCCUCGUGGAAGCAUUGAUGGGCACAUCUUAUACUUAGUUUUAAUUAAUCCCCUUGUGUAAUGAGAUCUGGCUGCCUCUCUCCCAUGCAGAAACUCAAAGUGCUUUUUACAUUACAAGGUAUGAAUAUACCUCCCAAGGCAAAUAUCAAGAUGAUACCAGGACAAAGAAGACAAAUGAAAGGAUCUUGAAGUCAGUAACUGGGCAGUUGGGAAUACUUAUGAUCUUUCUUGUCAUAUCUCCCCAUGUUUCUUUCAUAACUUAGAUGCUGGUAUCCAGGAAGUCCUGGGUAAUACUGGGAGCAAGAAAUAGUUAAGAAAGAUGAUUUUGUUUGGGGCUGGCAUUAGGUGGGAGGGAAAUAAAAGCAGAAAUGCAUAUUAUGUGAUUAAAAUUGUUGAGAAAUAAAUAUAGAGGAAAGAGUUACCUGGAGAUUCACAUAAAUCAGCAGUUGCAUUUGCAGAUGUUUUACAUACAUUGAUGAAGUUACUCCUGCCCUUCCAUGAACUGGUGAGCAUCUUGCUAAAAGAUACAAAAGCAAUUGAAAUAAUUUUUCAUUCAUUUUGGAAGACACUAAUUAUCAUAUUUACCUGAAUCCAAGAUUAUCCUAAAUUUAAGACAACCCCCCAGUCCAUAGAUUCUAUACAUAGAACAUUUAUAAAUGUUAUAGUUUUCCAUGUAGCGAAUCUAAUUAUUCACUCACCUUACAUUCAUCUUAAAUUCUUCCCCUCCACCACUGUAAGUGGAAGGGGGACAGGUGAUAU